rnacentral:rRNA from 1 species
UACGAAGGGGGCUAGCGUUGCUCGGAAUCACUGGGCGUAAAGCGCACGUAGGCGGUUCGCUAAGUCAGGGGUGAAAUCCUGGAGCUCAACUCCAGAACUGCCCUUGAUACUGGCGGUCUCGAGUCCGGGAGAGGUGAGUGGAACUGCGAGUGUAGAGGUGAAAUUCGUAGAUAUUCGCAAGAACACCAGUGGCGAAGGCGGCUCACUGGCCCGGUAUUGACGCUGAGGCGCGAAAGCUAGGGGAGUAAACGGG